UGAGUUUAGACAUGUUGAUUUUGAUGU
rnacentral:piRNA from 1 species